rnacentral:rRNA from 1 species
GCAUGUGGUUUAAUUCGAUGCAACGCGAAGAACCUUACCUGGUCUUGACAUCCACAGAACUUUCCAGAGAUGGAUUGGUGCCUUCGGGAACUGUGAGACAGGUGCUGCAUGGCUGUCGUCAGCUCGUGUUGUGAAAUGUUGGGUUAAGUCCCGCAACGAGCGCAACCCUUAUCCUUUGUUGCCAGCGGUCCGGCCGGGAACUCAAAGGAGACUGCCAGUGAUAAACUGGAGGAAGGUGGGGAUGACGUCAAGUCAUCAUGGCCCUUACGACCAGGGCUACACACGUGCUACAAUGGCGCAUACAAAGAGAAGCGACCUCGCGAGAGCAAGCGGACCUCAUAAAGUGCGUCGUAGUCCGGAUUGGAGUCUGCAACUCGACUCCAUGAAGUCGGAAUCGCUAGUAAUCGUGGAUCAGAAUGCCACGGUGAAUACGUUCCCGGGCCUUGUACACACCGCCCGUCACACCAUGGGAGUGGGUUGCAAAAGAAGUAGGUAGCUUAACCUUCGGGAGGGCGCUUACCACUUUGUGAUUCAUGACUGGGGUGAAGUCGUAACAAGGUAACCGUAGGGGAACCUGCGGUUGGAUCACCUCCUUA